rnacentral:tRNA from 1 species
GGGGAUGUGGCUCAAAUGGUAGAGCACCUAUUUAGCAAACACUAGGCCCUGAGCUCAAAUCUCAGUACCACCA